UACGUAGGGGGCUAGCGUUGUCCGGAAUCAUUGGGCGUAAAGCGCGUGUAGGCGGUUCGGUAAGUCCGCUGUGAAAGGCGGGGGCUCAACCCUCGAAAGCCGGUGGAAACUGUCGGGCUAGAGUACGGAAGAGGCGAGUGGAAUUCCUGGUGUAGCGGUGAAAUGCGCAGAUAUCAGGAGGAACACCUAUUGCGAAGGCAGCUCGCUGGGACGUUACUGACGCUGAGACGCGAAAGCGUGGGGAGCAAACAGG
rnacentral:rRNA from 1 species